rnacentral:tRNA from 1 species
GCUCUCAUAGUUCAAUGGAUAGAACAGUUCCGUCCUAAGGAAUAGAUGUAGGUUCGAUUCCUGCUGAGAGCA